GCCUUGACGUCAUACUAACACCAUCCUGUAGGCUGAUUAAAGAUGGCGCCGUCUCAUGUGCUAAGAUGCUGUCAACGGGUUUUAGCUUGGAUACCUGUUAUUUUUAUCGCCCUGGUCGUAUGCUGGUCUUACUAUGCUUAUGUUGUCGAGCUGUGUAUUUUCACAAUCCCAAACACUGGAGAACAAGUCGUCUACCUGAUCGUAUUCCAUCUGUCGUUCAUCAUGUUCGUUUGGUCCUACUGGAAGACUAUCUUCUCCAAGCCUGCAAACCCCUCCAAAGAGUUCUGUCUGCCCAAAGCAGAUAAGGAACAGUAUGAGAAAGAGGAGCGGCCUGAAUCGCAGCAGGAGAUUCUGAAGAGGGUGGCCAAGGACCUUCCCCUGUACACACGCACUGGGACCGGGGCCAUCCGGUAUUGUGACCGUUGCCAGGUGAUCAAGCCAGACCGCUGCCAUCACUGUUCUGCCUGUGACAUGUGUGUGCUAAAGAUGGACCACCAUUGUCCCUGGGUGAACAACUGCGUGGGCUUCUCCAAUUAUAAAUACUUCAUCCUGUUCCUGGCCUACUCCAUGGUCUACUGUGUGUUCAUCGCCGCCACUGUGCUGCAGUAUUUCAUCAAGUUCUGGACAAAUCAGCUGCCCGACACUCACGCCAAAUUCCAUGUAUUAUUUCUCUUUUUUGUGGCGGCCAUGUUCUUCAUCAGCAUUCUGUCGCUCUUCAGCUAUCACCUGUGGCUUGUGGGAAAGAACAGAUCCACCAUAGAGGCCUUCAGAGCGCCGGUCUUUAGAAACGGUCCUGAUAAAAACGGCUUCUCUUUGGGGUUCAGUAAGAACAUCGCGGAGGUGUUUGGGGAUCAGAAGAAGUUCUGGAUGCUGCCCGUCUACACGAGUUUGGGUGACGGACACACAUUCCCCACUCGGCUGGUGAAUCUUGAUCCAGAGCAGCCCACCGUGGACCUGCAGCCCAGCAUUAAAAGCAGUGUAGUAGACGGGCAGGUCAAUCCCCGGCCCCUGAGCGAAUCACAAAACCGCCUUCUGGGCAACGACCUGCACUGUGCGGAGGACCACCCGGAGAGAGACGCCGUCAAAACAGGUGCCCUCUCUGCCCCUGGUCCCGUCAAGUCAUACCCUGCUCCGCACUGUUGUGAAAUUCACGAGUGAUCUCAGUAAUCGAAGAAGCCCAGACAGUCACAGUUACCAUGGAGAGCGAGUCAUAACAAGAGCAGGGGGACUGAGGUGGUGGGGUAUCAGACUGUUCCUUUGAGACGCCUGGACUACCUGCGCUGACUCAGUGGACACCCCCAGCCCAGAGACGACCGAGCCAUCGAUUCUGAUGCCUUAAACUCCUCACAGUAGCAUCUCUGUGUUUACCAUGGACACCAUCCCCUUCGCCAUGGAUAUGAUCUCCACAGAACAGCUUUUGUAUCACUAUGGACAACCUUUCUUUGGUCAGCCUUUCCCCACUGUCUGUGCCAGCACCCUGUUUGGCAUACAUGCACAUAAAGAGCGCACACACACACACGCUAACACACACAUACACAUUCUAAUACACACACAUACCGACACGCACAGACACGCACAUGCAGUCAUACACACGCAUACCGACACGCACACACACACCCUGUCUUAACUUGCCAAAAAGGCACACCAAUGAUUUUUAAUGAUUAUACAGCAUAUUUCCUCUGGGACUGCCUUGUCUCUCUGCAUUGUUUUCAAACCAAAAAAAAAAAAAAACAUGCAUCUGCUCUAGGCCAAAUUAUUAAAGUUUUUUUUUUUUUUUUUUUUCUUUCCAAAACUUGAAAACAUUGUCAGUAUUUGUGUAGAAACACUCUUGGUUCAUGGGUUACACUACAUAUUGUGCUGGAGAAAAACAGUAUUGCUGCUGUAGCUCUAAAAUGUCCGCUGGCAGGGUGUUGUCGGCUGCUCCGGUGGCUACGGGGAUGGGCUCACUUCACGCCUUUUCACUUCUUCUUCUUCACAGAUGAGACACAGUCUCUGUUUUUAUGGCCUCACUUUACAAUACGAGGGGAACUGCAGAACUACUAAAUCCUCAUUUUAAUCUUAUUCAGGGCUGUGUACUUUCAGUUCAUGUAUCCGUCUGCAAACGGCUGAAUUUUUAAUGUUCAAAGAAACUCUUUUCCUCACCAAGUAGUGCAGAUAAAUUUUUCAAGUCUCAAUUUGGUAGUUGCUUUGGGGAAAACCAUCCUCUUCCGAAAAAAGAAAAACGCUUUUUGACCGUUUUUAACAACUAAUUUUAGUUGCGUUUCAGAUUGGUUACUGUUGAGACGCGGUGAGGAUGGUGAACCCCAUUGUUGCACCCAGCAUAAAUGUGUGUGUGUGUGUGUGUGUGCGAGCGAGCGAGUGAGUAUACAGGCCCUUGUAACUGGGCAUAACCAAGGGAGUGGGUAGACUUGCAGAGUCUGGCACCAGCUGUCACGAGGCUGGUGCAAGUGCAGUGCUAACAUUGCCAGUAUUAACAACAACCGUUCUUUGCCACUUUUUUAUCUUGCACAGCAAUGAAAGUAAUGGGCACUGUUAAAGGCUUGAAGUUACUCUUCUGAAAAAAAAAAAAAAAAAAAAAGCAUGUAAUUUGAAACCUCCCACAGUGGGAUUUACGGAGCACAAAAAAUAAUUUCUGUAAUAAAUUCUGGAAGUACACAGCCCUAAACAGAUUGUAGUGAAUGAUCUUUGACAGGCUGACCGGUCCGGUUGAGUAAAGGGAUGCGUGCUUGGUUGUUUAGCCGAAGGGAAUAGAGUGCUCACAUAGACGUGGGAGAAUGGGCUGACUGUUGCAGCGCAGGCAGACUGCAAACCUAACACUUUUAGCACUUUAAUACUGUGUAGGAGAUGCUUCAUAUACAUUUUCUAUCCUGGGCUAAAAUCGGAACGCUUAAGUCAGAAGUUGUUGAAUUAUAAGCUAAUGACUUGGUACAAAUGGCUUGGGAAUUUCAUCCUGUUUUUAACGCGCGUAAAGCUUGAUUCCUGCCCUUGACGCUCCCAUAAUCCAGCACUGGGCAGUCCAAUCAUUGAGCAGUUAACAUUUUGGUCCUGCUUUUGUGCCUUCUCUGCAGACUGGUUCUGGCUUCACUGCCCUCAGUGUGGUUUUGCAGUAGAUGUUUUACCACACUCGUGAGGACCUGUGCCAGCACUUGCUGCGCCUCGCUUACCGAACAUCAGAAGCGGAGGUUGGGGAUUGGCUGUUGGAAGUUCUGCUUCACCACCUGACUGAAGGUUUAGUUUUUUUCCCCACACACAAACCUGCAUUUAUUUCAUUUUGCUUUUAUCUUAUUUUUACUGAUUUACCUCAAACCAAUGCAUCACUCUUUUUUUGAUCUGUUAAGAUAUGGCUGAGUAAUUCAUCCGGAGAAUUUGUUGCUUCUGAAAAACGAGUAUAUUCAAAGGCGCCCUAAAUGACGGAUCUGUUUACAUGUAUACAUCUCCCACAUAAGCAUGUAUAGUGCCAUAUAGUUUCCUAUCUAAAUCUCACCUAUAGUAUGUAUUGCCCAACCCAGGGAAACAUGCUGCAAUGUAAGUUGCAACAUUUAAAAAAAAAAAAAAUUUUCCCCCACUGAAAAUAUCGGCGAGGUUCAGUUUUACAUAUUCGAUUCGACCUGGAGUGGAUCCACAUACAAAUAAAUUUGUUGCAGAAGAUGCAUCCAACCGUACUGCAGUAUGCCCGGAGCGUUUUUAGAGACUGCUCUUGUGGUGUUAAACUGCAGCGAGGGGAGGGAAUCCUGGGGAAGGAUGUGUCGAUGUGUCCUUAUCUGUGAUCGAUCAAGAGCGUUUUGAAGUGUGUGUCCUUUUUCAGCGUUAUGUGAGACGUUGUGAGUUGUACAGAUUUCCGUAGACAAAAAGUAUCUGUGACUUGAGUGCAAUGUCCUGGCGGGAAUCUCCCUCUAGCUCUGUGCUUUUGUGAUUUUUUAUUUUAUUUCAUUUUUGGAUCAUUUCGUGAAAGAGCACAAAAAUCUCCCCGUUGCGACGGUUGCUUCCUCCAACAUCGAGUGGCUGAGUGGGGAAACGAUGAAGAAGGAUCUCGGUCGUACGUAGCACCGCCACCUCCAAACCAUGACUUUUACUUCUAGAUUCCACUCAUCAUAAUUUUGUAAUCCGUUUAAUCCUGGACCUAGUGACCUUGUGGACUAAUUCUGCUUUGACUCUUGUAGAAUACAGGGCUCGUUAAUCAGCGGUGUCAUUUUGGAAGGCUUGCUGUUUCUUACGGACAUUGAGAUCUGUACUGUGCAUUCUGUACUCAUCCAUAGCACUGAUGCCUAAAGGUGGAGGGAGGCCAACCAUUUUUAGCCAUUGGGAUCUUGUCCUGUUUAAAAAGAAAAACGGCUAUAUCUUUCCAAAGUAACUGCACUCCUAACACCAUCAUAACCUCUAAAGAUUUUUUCUAAUUUUGGUGUCAUUGGUCAUUUUCCAUUAAAAUGUAACUACAGCCAUAAAGCAUACGUCAAGAAAGAAAAUCUUGGACCAUUUUACUAUGUUGUUUUUGUAAUCUUUGUGAAGCUUUUUUUAAAUGGACCCAUUUUUGCAUGUAAGGUUUACCAUGAAAGUCUUUGUACUCUGCUCAUACUGCAACGCAGUUUGCUUUUUGUUUCUAAAGUAAUGUAAAAAAAAAAAAAAAAAAAAACAGUUAAAAAUGAAAUUACGGUUUGCACAUAUUUUGUCUAAUUUUAAUGUUCAUUUUUGUAGGUAAAGUAUACGUAUGAAUGUUGAGACAUAACAAUAAAUAUUGAUUUUCAUUCUCUA